rnacentral:rRNA from 1 species
CAACUUUUGACGGUGGAUCUCUUGGCUCACGCAUCGAUGAAGAACGCAGCCAGCUGCGAUAAGUAGUGUGAAUUGCAGAAUUCAGUGAAUCAUCGAAUCUUUGAACGCAAAUGGCGCUCUUGGGUUCUCCCAGGAGCAUGUCUGUCUGAGUGUCAGAU